GGAAGUAAAAGUCGUAACAAGGUUUCGUAGGUGAACCUGCGGAAGGAUCAUUAAUAAAUGGUCUACGUUUUUUUAAGUAGACGCUUAAUAAUCCUACCCUUUGUGAAUUUGUUGUUUUGAAAUAAUUUUUUUUUAAAAUUAUUGAUUGUCUUUCCCUGUUGAAUUGGUUGUCUUAUUGGCAAAUGAUUCGCAGGGAGUGUCAGUAAUUUCUAAAAAGACCUUUUUAAAUUAAACUUUUUGUAUUCAUUUGUCUAAAAUUAUUUUUAUAAUAUAAAAACAACUUUUGACAAUGGAUCUCUUGGUUCUCGCAACGAUGAAGAACGCAGCAAAAUGCGAUAAGUAGUGUGAAUUGCAGAAUACGUGAAUCAUCGAAUCUUCGAACGCAUAUUGCACUUUUUUAGUUUACUAAAAAGUAUGUCUGUUUGAGUAUCAGUAAAUAUUCUCAUAAAAACUUUUUGUUUUUAUGGUUAUGAGUGUUUUACAACGAUACAAGUUGUUUCACUUUAAUUUUUUUUAAAAUUUGAAUUUUUCUAAUUUUAAAAUAAAAUUGGAUAAAAUUUUCCGUAAAAAAGGAAUAACCUAAACAAUUUUAAUUUUUGAUUAGAAUUCUUCAAUUAUAAAGGAAAAUUUAACUAAAUAACUUGAUCUCAAAUCAGAUAAGAGUACCGCUGAACUUAAGCAUAUCAAUAAGCGGAGGAAAAGAACUAACAAGGAUUCCUUAGUAACGGCGAGUGAAGCGGGAAGAGCUCAAAUUUGAAAUCUUCAAGGUUUUACCUUGACGAAUUGUAGUUUAAAGAAGUGUUUUCUGUUGAAGUUUUGGUAAAAGUUCUUUGGAAUAGGACAUCAUAGAGGUGAGAAUCCGUAUUUGACCAUUAUUUUCAGCUGUGUGAUACACUUUCAAAGAGUCGGAUUGUUUGGGAAUGCAGUCCAAAAUGGGUGGUAAAUUUCAUCUAAAGCUAAAUAUUGGCGAGAGACGAUAGCGAACAAGUACGUGAGGAAAGAUGAAAGAACUUGAAAAGGGAGUUAAACAGUACGUGAAAUUGUCAAAAGGAAGCGUUUGACACCUGUGUUGUUUUCUCGAAAAUCAAUUAAAAAAAGUUGGAUUUUGUGUUGUAUUGACCUUAACAGCUUGCUUCACUCUUUUCUUGCUUUUUAAUGCACUUUCGUUUAACAAGUCAACAUCAGUUUCUUUUGUUGCAAAAGGGUCAUUGGAAGUGCUUUCUCUUCGGAGAAAGUGUUUAUAGCCUUUGAUCUUGCAAUCGGAGAGACUGAGGUCUGCAGCGUAGAUCUUCGGGGUUAGAUACAUUUGUGCUAAGCUACAGCUUUUCAUAGACAACUUGUUGACUAUG
rnacentral:misc_RNA from 1 species